rnacentral:tRNA from 1 species
UUUACUUUAGCAUAUAAAUAAUUGUAAUAAAUUUAGAAUUUAAGGAAAUAUAUCCACAUAAUAUAUAAGUAAAA